GUAGUACUCCCUUCGUCCGGAAAUACUUGUCAUCAAAACGAGUAAAAGGGGAUAUAUCUACUUCCCCUUUUAUCUAUUUUGAUGACAAGUAUUUUCGGAUGGAGGGAGUACUUA
rfam:Triticum aestivum genome assembly, contig: Triticum_aestivum_CS42_TGACv1_scaffold_457868_5DS